GAGGGUAUAGCUCAAGUAGCAGUGUGUAUGCUUAGCAUGCACUAGGUCCUGGGUUCAAUCCCCAGUACCUCCU
rfam:Camelus ferus unplaced genomic scaffold scaffold340, whole genome shotgun sequence.